rnacentral:rRNA from 1 species
UACGUAGGGUGCUAGCGUUGUUCGGAAUCAUUGGGCGUAAAGCGCGUGUAGGCUGUUAGUUAAGUCGAGUGUGAAAUCCCUGGGCUCAACCGAGGAAGUGCAUCCGAAACUAACUAGCUAGAGAAUGGUAGAGGAAGGUGGAAUUCCUAGUGUAGAGGUGAAAUUCGUAGAUAUUAGGAGGAAUACCGGUGGCGAAGGCGGCCUUCUGGACCAUUUCUGACGCUGAGACGCGAAAGCGUGGGGAGCAAACAGG